rnacentral:rRNA from 1 species
CAGCCGUAAACUAUGCUCGCUAGGUGUCAGGGACGGUGCGACCGUUUCUGGUGCCGCAGGGAAGCCGUGAAGCGAGCCACCUGGGAAGUACGGUCGCAAGGCUGAAACUUAAAGGAAUUGGCGGGGGAGCACCACAACGGGUGGAGCUUGCGGUUUAAUUGGAUUCAACGCCGGAAAUCUUACCGGGACCGACAGCAACAUGAAGGCCAGGCUGAAGACUUUGCCGGAUUAGCUGAGAGGUGGUGCAUGGCGUCAGUGACU